UACGUAGGUGACCAGCGUUGUCCGGAUUUACUGGGCGUAAAGAGCGCGCAGGCGGUCGUUCAAGUCGAGUGUGAAAGCCCCCGGCUCAACUGGGGAGGGUCAUUCGAUACUGAUCGACUGGAAGGCAGGAGAGGGAAGCGGAAUUCCCGGUGUAGUGGUGAAAUGCGUAGAUAUCUGGAAGAACACCGGUGGCGCAAGCGGCUUGCUGGGCUGUAACUGACGCUGAGGAACGAAAGCUAGGGUAGCGAAUGGG
rnacentral:rRNA from 1 species